rnacentral:rRNA from 1 species
AUGGAGUCCACGAAGAUCUCCGCGCUGCUGGUGCUCGCCAUGCUGGCGCUCUCCUCGCCCACCGUCGUGCUCGCGUGCUCCCCCGCCUCCGGGUGCGGCAGCGGCACCCCGUCGAGCGGCACGCCCUCGGCCGGCGGCGUCAGCAUACCCCCGGUCGGCGGUAUCGUUGGCACCGUCACUCCGAUCAUCGGCGGCGCCGUCCCCACCGUCGGCGGUGUCGUCGGCAAAGUCACCCCGGUCAUCGGCGGUGUCGUCGGCGGCGCCGUCCCCACCGUGGGCGGUGUCGUCGGCAAAGUCACCCCAGUCGUCGGCGGCGCCGUCCCCACCGUGGGCGGUGUCGUCGGCAAAGUCACCCCAGCCGUCGGCGGCGCCGUCCCUGCCGCCGGUGGCGUGGUCUCUCCUGUCGUCGGCACCGUAGGCGGCGUGGUUGGCGGCGUCCCCGUCGUCGGGGGAGUUGUCACUCCCGUCAUCGGCGUCGUGGCUCCCAUCAUCGGGGGCUCCCCGUCCCCCAAGACCCGCCACGGCGGACGCAAGGCGUGCCCUCCCUCGCCCCCGACCCCCACCCCGUCUCCCCCGACCCCGGCGCCGACUCCGCCGACGCCCACGCCUAGCCCCACGCCCUCCUCCGACACGUGCCCGAUCGACACGCUGAAGCUGGGCGUGUGCCUGGACCUGCUCGGCAACGAGCUGCACAUCGGCGACGCCAGCGUCAAGUGCUGCCCGCUCGUGGAGGGCAUCGCCGGGCUCACCGCCGCGGCGUGCCUCUGCACGGCCAUCAAGGCCAAGGUGCUCAACCUCGCCCUCUACGUGCCGCUCGCCCUCCAGCUGCUCGUCAACGACUGCGGCUGCGCCGUGCCCCCGGGCUACACCUGCGCCUGA